AACGAACGCUGGCGGCAUGCCUAACACAUGCAAGUCGAACGAGACCUUCGGGUCUAGUGGCGCACGGGUGCGUAACGCGUGGGAAUCUGCCCUUUGGUUCGGAAUAACCGUUAGAAAUGACUGCUAAUACCGGAUGAUGACUUCGGUCCAAAGAUUUAUCGCCAGAGGAUGAGCCCGCGUAGGAUUAGGUAGUUGGUGGGGUAAAGGCCUACCAAGCCGACGAUCCUUAGCUGGUCUGAGAGGAUGAUCAGCCACACUGGGACUGAGACACGGCCCAGACUCCUACGGGAGGCAGCAGUGGGGAAUAUUGGACAAUGGGCGCAAGCCUGAUCCAGCAAUGCCGCGUGAGUGAUGAAGGCCUUCGGGUCGUAAAGCUCUUUUACCAGGGAUGAUAAUGACAGUACCUGGAGAAUAAGCGCCGGCUAACUCCGUGCCAGCAGCCGCAGUAAAAC
rnacentral:rRNA from 1 species